rnacentral:tRNA from 1 species
AUAAGUAUAUUUUAAUAAAAAAAGUGUCAUGAUACGACAAAAUUAACAAUGUGUUUAUU